CUGUAAUUGAACUGCCACCUUCAGUAACCUCCAGCGAAUCCCCAGUUCCAAGUGAACAGCCACCAGUGAACGCCACAGCAUGUGUUCCCUUCCAACACAAUGGAGAAAUCGUGAGUGGAUGCGUUGGCGAAGAAGGGAUGGAGGAGACAAUCGAAAUGGAGGGAGAAGGAGGAGUGAUAAACAGGGAGACAGUGAGCGGCAGAUGGUGCGCCUCAGCGGUAGACGAGAAUUUGAAUGCAGUGUCAGUUAUAGCAUGCCCAACCAUGCCUUCUGUAAUUGAACUGCCACCUUCAGUAACUUCCAGUGAAUCCCCAGG